rnacentral:rRNA from 1 species
CGAGUAUCCCCAGUGCCGGAGUGAGGAUGUUAAGUCCACUGCCUGGGGAGUACGGUCGCAAGGCUGAAACUUAAAGGAAUUGGCGGGGGAGCACAGCAACGAGAGGAGCGUGCGGUUUAAUUGGAUUCAACGCCGGAAAACUCACCAGUGCCGACGGACAUAUGAAGAUCAGCGUGAUGAGCUUAUUGGAUUGUUCGAGAGGUAGUGCACGGCCGUCGUCAGUUCGUACCGUAAGGCGUUCUGUUAAGUCAGAUAACGAACGAGACCCCUAUCGUCUAUUUGCUAAACGGAUCUCCGGAUUCGUCGCACUAUAGCGAGACCGCUGGCGUGAAGUCAGAGGAAGGUGGGGGCAACGACAGGUCAGUAUGCUCCGAAUGCACUGGGCUACACGCGCGCUACAAAGGCCAGGACAAUGGGUCUGCCACGCCGAGAGGCGGCACUAUCCCGAAACCUGGUCGUAGUUCGGAUCGAGGGCNGUAAUUCGCCCUCGNGAAGCUGGAUUUCGUAGUAAUCGCGUCUCAAAACUGGCGCGGUGAAUAUGCCCCUUCUCCUUGCC